rnacentral:rRNA from 1 species
GAACUUUCCAGAGAUGGAUUGGUGCCUUCGGGAACUCUGAGACAGGUGCUGCAUGGCUGUCGUCAGCUCGUGUUGUGAAAUGUUGGGUUAAGUCCCGCAACGAGCGCAACCCUUAUCCUUUGUUGCCAGCGGUUAGGCCGGGAACUCAAAGGAGACUGCCAGUGAUAAACUGGAGGAAGGUGGGGAUGACGUCAAGUCAUCAUGGCCCUUACGAGUAGGGCUACACACGUGCUACAAUGGCGCAUACAAAGAGAAGCGACCUCGCGAGAGCAAGCGGACCUCAUAAAGUGCGUCGUAGUCCGGAUUGGAGUCUGCAACUCGACUCCAUGAAGUCGGAAUCGCUAGUAAUCGUAGAUCAGAAUGCUACGGUGAAUACGUUCCCGGGCCUUGUACACACCGCCCGUCACACCAUGGGAGUGGGUUGCAAAAGAAGUAGGUAGCUUAACCUUCGGGAGGGCGCUUACCACUUUGUGAUUCAUGACUGGGGUGAAGUCGUAACAAGGUAAGCGUAGUGCU